GGCGGGACACGUGGUAUCCUGUCUGAAUAUGGGGGGACCAUCCUCCAAGGCUAAAUACUCCUGACUGACCGAUAGUGAACCAGUACCGUGAGGGAAAGGCGAAAAGAACCCCGGCGAGGGGAGUGAAAAAGAACCUGAAACCGUGUACGUACAAGCAGUGGGAGCCCCACCACUAAGCCAGUGGUGAACUCCACAUACGCAUCCUUUGCUGAGGAUACGGUUAACGGAGCGAAAGCGACGUUCAACCUCAAAAGAAGCAGAGGGGGCUUAGUGGUGGGGUGACUGCGUACCUUUUGUAUAAUGGGUCAGCGACUUAUAUUCUGUAGCAAGGUUAACCGUAUAGGGGAGCCGCAGGGAAACCGAGUCUUAAUUGGGCGUUAAGUUGCAGGGUAUAGACCCGAAACCCGGUGAUCUAGCCAUGGGCAGGUUGAAGGUUGGGUAACACUAACUGGAGGACCGAACCGACUAAUGUUGAAAAAUUAGCGGAUGACCUGUGGCUGGGGGUGAAAGGCCAAUCAAACCGGGAGAUAGCUGGUUCUCCCCGAAAGCUAUUUAGGUAGCGCCUCGUGAAUUCAUCUCCGGGGGUAGAGCACUGUUUCGGCUAGGGGGCCAUCCCGGCUUACCAACCCGAUGCAAACUGCGAAUACCGGAGAAUGUUAUCACGGGAGACACACGGCGGGUGCUAACGUCCGUCGUGAAGAGGGAAACAACCCAGACCGCCAGCUAAGGUCCCAAAGUCAUGGUUAAGUGGGAAACGAUGUGGGAAGGCCCAGACAGCCAGGAUGUUGGCUUAGAAGCAGCCAUCAUUUAAAGAAAGCGUAAUAGCUCACUGGUCGAGUCGGCCUGCGCGGAAGAUGUAACGGGGCUAAACCAUGCACCGAAGCUGCGGCAGCGACACUAUGUGUUGUUGGGUAGGGGAGCGUUCUGUAAGCCUGCGAAGGUGGCCUGUGAGGGUUGCUGGAGGUAUCAGAAGUGCGAAUGCUGACAUAAGUAACGAUAAAGCGGGUGAAAAGCCCGCUCGCCGGAAGACCAAGGGUUCCUGUCCAACGUUAAUCGGGGCAGGGUGAGUCGACCCCUAAGGCGAGGCCGAAAGGCGUAGUCGAUGGGAAACGGGUUAAUAUUCCCGUACUUGGUGUUACUGCGAAGGGGGGACGGAGAAGGCUAUGUUGGCCGGGCGACGGUUGUCCCGGUUUAAGCGUGUAGGUGUGUGUUCCAGGUAAAUCCGGUUCACUUUAACACUGAGGCGUGACGACGAGGCACUACGGUGCUGAAGCAACAAAUGCCCUGCUUCCAGGAAAAGCCUCUAAGCAUCAGGUAACAUCAAAUCGUACCCCAAACCGACACAGGUGGUCAGGUAGAGAAUACCAAGGCGCUUGAGAGAACUCGGGUGAAGGAACUAGGCAAAAUGGUGCCGUAACUUCGGGAGAAGGCACGCUGACAUGUAGGUGAAGUGAUUUACUCACGGAGCUGAAGUCAGUCGAAGAUACCAGCUGGCUGCAACUGUUUAUUAAAAACACAGCACUGUGCAAACACGAAAGUGGACGUAUACGGUGUGACGCCUGCCCGGUGCCGGAAGGUUAAUUGAUGGGGUCAGCGCAAGCGAAGCUCCUGAUCGAAGCCCCGGUAAACGGCGGCCGUAACUAUAACGGUCCUAAGGUAGCGAAAUUCCUUGUCGGGUAAGUUCCGACCUGCACGAAUGGCGUAAUGAUGGCCAGGCUGUCUCCACCCGAGACUCAGUGAAAUUGAACUCGCUGUGAAGAUGCAGUGUACCCGCGGCAAGACGGAAAGACCCCGUGAACCUUUACUAUAGCUUGACACUGAACAUUGAGCCUUGAUGUGUAGGAUAGGUGGGAGGCUUUGAAGUGUGGACGCCAGUCUGCAUGGAGCCGACCUUGAAAUACCACCCUUUAAUGUUUGAUGUUCUAACGUGGACCCGUGAUCCGGGUUGCGGACAGUGUCUGGUGGGUAGUUUGACUGGGGCGGUCUCCUCCUAAAGAGUAACGGAGGAGCACGAAGGUUGGCUAAUCCUGGUCGGACAUCAGGAGGUUAGUGCAAUGGCAUAAGCCAGCUUGACUGCGAGCGUGACGGCGCGAGCAGGUGCGAAAGCAGGUCAUAGUGAUCCGGUGGUUCUGAAUGGAAGGGCCAUCGCUCAACGGAUAAAAGGUACUCCGGGGAUAACAGGCUGAUACCGCCCAAGAGUUCAUAUCGACGGCGGUGUUUGGCACCUCGAUGUCGGCUCAUCACAUCCUGGGGCUGAAGUAGGUCCCAAGGGUAUGGCUGUUCGCCAUUUAAAGUGGUACGCGAGCUGGGUUUAGAACGUCGUGAGACAGUUCGGUCCCUAUCUGCCGUGGGCGCUGGAGAACUGAGGGGGGCUGCUCCUAGUACGAGAGGACCGGAGUGGACGCAUCACUGGUGUUCGGGUUGUCAUGCCAAUGGCACUGCCCGGUAGCUAAAUGCGGAAGAGAUAAGUGCUGAAAGCAUCUAAGCACGAAACUUGCCCCGA
rnacentral:rRNA from 1 species